rnacentral:rRNA from 1 species
GACGAACGCUGGCGGCGUGCCUAAUACAUGCAAGUCGAACGCAGUGGGGACGGGUGAGUAACACGUGGGUAACCUCCCAUCAGAUGGGAUAACACUUGGAAACAGGUGCUAAACCGCUACUGAUGGAUGGACCCGCGGUGCAUUAGCUAGUUGGUGAGGUAACGGCUCACCAAGUCCACGAUGCAUAGCAGACCUGAGAGGGUGAUCGGCCACACUGGGACUGAGACACGGCCCAGACGCCUACGGGAGGCAGCAGUGGGGAAUAUUGCACAAUGGGCGCAAGCCUGAUGCAGCCAUGCCGCGUGUAUGAAGAAGGCCCUAGGGUUGUAAAGUACUUUCAGUCGGGAGGCGUUACCGACAGAAGAAGCACCGGCUAACUCCGUGCCAGCAGCCGCGGUAAUAC